GAACAAGAAAUCAGACGAGAGCAUAACUCCAAUCCGUUACAACGUCAAUCACAUGUAUACUGGUAGUUUUCCCAGCCAAUAUGCCACGCAAUUUUUACUGGUGGAGUGAUGACCAAUCCCUAUAUAUAUUUAUUAUACAUCCAUUUUAGAAUGUGGGGCACAUAAUCAUGAUGAUUUGUGAUGAAUUGAUGUUCCUAAUACAUGCAGUGUUGAGCACAGGUACACACAGUCCAUCCAUGCGUAGUAACAUGCACGGACCGUACUGGUGAAUGAUGUGGUGGAUGGAAGCUGAUAGGUGGAUCUGGAACACAGUCUAUUAUUUAAUAUACUAUGUAUUGUACAUGUUCAUGACGUUGUAACGGAUUGGAGUUAUGCUCUCGUCUGAUUUCUUGUUCCCACGCUUUUUUGUGGUUCCCCUGGCCAAUCCUAGCAAUUUUUCACAUUGCAAAUGUUUUUCUAGUCGGAUUCCCUUUCUUUUUCAGUACAGUUUACGUAUCAUGACAUGCAUAAGUGGAACGUCAAGAGGCAGUACAAGAAGAGAAGACAGGACUAAUCAGAUAUCUUCUCGAAUAUCUCUGGACUAAUAAUUAGAGUAAUAAUUUAUUGCUUGAUAAUUAUGUUGAAUUUGCGAAUCAGUAUUAAAUGACAGCCAUUUUAAGAGCAUGAUAUCUAGCCAGUGCAUAUAGCAUGCCUGUCAGAGAAAGGGAGCUAGAGCUGAACAGUGUGAAGAAAAGGAACACCUCAGGCUCUGGAAAAGCACUGCUGCACUGAUUUUAGGCGCACGGUUUAUUAGCCACGCCUAUCUAUUAUUGGCCACAACACAAUUGCUGAGUCAUUAAAGAUGGCGGAAUUGUCUAGGUAAGAGAAAUAGAGACUGAGAGGUCAUCUGCCUCGUGGAAGCAAUCGCAAAUCUGAAGAAGCGCUUUGUAAUCCAGGUUGUAGUCGUUUGGAAACCCUGUGCAGAAUGUCCUGGAGAUGGCUGUACUUGGAGUAAAUGCUGGGCAAGAAACUUACUUACUUACUUACUUACUUACUCACUUACUUACUUAGUCAGUCAGACAAAGAGCGGUGAAACGUCGAAAUAGUGCAAUUUUUAAAAUGAAAAUAUUCAUUCAUUAAAAUGUUUAUGGAUUAUGAAAGGAGAGAUACAAAGAGAGAAAAGGCUAAAUAAACUAUCUGUUCAGCCAGUUUCUUGAUGUGGCCUUUCCCUGCAGAGAUAGAACAGUUUGAACAUGAGUCAAAAUAAUUGAAAUAUUGCUAAACACGGGCAAACCCACUGCCAAUCCUAUGUAAAACCUACUGGUUUUACUAAUUUAUAUUCUCUCCUGUAAGGAGAACGUGAUUAAUUAGUGGCGUGGCACAUCAAAAGGGGGCGUAGAAUUUCACCCAGGUGUUAUGCUGAGUUUGGUAAUAUGCUGAGUUUGGUAAUUAUAAUUGUCCGGCAAGGUGUUGGGUUUGGAUAGGGAUAGCCGCGGUUAUCAUAGUACCGCCCACCACGGAACUAAUUUUCAUUAUCAGCUCCUAGCCUUCCAUAUGGUUUGUCACAAUAGGUGCUGUCAAGUAGUUUUUAUCAGGAAACAUUAUGAAUCUCAUUAACAUCUGGCAAUGAAUAAAAUUAAUAUUAUCAGUGCCUGACCCAGGCCCAGAGCUACUAUUCAUCUAUGUGCUGACACCAAUGCUGACACCAAAGCAGAAGAGGUACAAAGAGAUCUGUGGUCUAAAUGUAGAUAAGUGCAAGACUAUGCGAAUGUCCCUAGUCUGCAGCAAACACUUCUCCAGCAAACUCUUCACAAACAGCAAACUCUGCAAUUUGUAUUUUCUUUUUUUAAUGGAAAGGGUUAAACAUAAAUUAUCGUGGAUGCUGUGCUUGAUUUAGAAAAGGUACGUAGUGUGUACAUGACAUUAGGUCGUGGUACUGAGAUGGCGCUUCGAGGCACUAUCACAGCUGACAACAAGGAGCUUCAAGGAUCUCGGUAGGGGGUACCAGUUUUGUCUAGCUGUUAUUAUUUUCGCAAACAGUGACAGUUUUCUUUAUUCAACUUCGUAGUCUACAGUAGUCAGGAUCUCCUGGUUUCCAACGGAAAAGUCAUCCAGCCAAGGCCAGAGCGAGGUAUCUCUUCCCUAGAUAGUGUGUAAAGUAAACUGAGUUAGUUUAGAGCCUGUUGUGUACUAUUCAAUUAUUAUUCUUUUCAAAGAAAGAUGCACCCAGUAACAGUUCUCUUCAAGCUAGCUAGUUACUCUGUCAGGACGUCAACCAGGGCGAGAUUUUAAUUCAGAGGUAAGCUUUGUGUGCAUAUGAUUAUAGCGAUGCUUAACUGAUAUUCUUCGUGUUCUCAUCCACAAUGUAUUCUGUUAUCAGUGAAUCAAAGUUUGGGCCAACAGAUUGGGCCAACAGAUUGCUUACAGUAAUGUGUGUGCGGGGUGUAUCUUUAUGUGCGUGCGUGUCUGUAUGUGUGCCCGCGCGGUGUGUGUAUCUGUGUCUGCCGUGCGGGUGUAUGUGCACACGCGCGCGCUUGUGUGUGUGUGUGUGUGUGUGUGUGUGCCCCCUGUGGUGUGCCCCCUGUGGCCCGUCAGAGGUACUCUGUAAAUUGCAAGAAAUCACCCAUGUAUAAAAUGGUACUUUAUACCAUGCUAAAUGCCAAAAGUUAUGCCUAGGCUUGUGUGAAGUUCCUGCUUGCUUCGUUGCUUGUUACAAUUCAAUUGGCUCACAUGUACAGAGUACAGAGGUUGAUUGCAUAAUAAUGUUCUGACCUUUUCAGGGGGCUUAUGAGUGUACUGUUUAUGAGUGUGCUGUCUACUUCCCAAGCUUUUGUGUGUUGAUAUGCAUUGUAAUUCUGUGCCUAAAGUUAAAUCUUUUUAUGAACUCCCAGUUUGUUGUAGGAUCACAAUUACUUUAAUUGCAUGUAAGGAGCCUAUAUAAUUCCCUCGAAAAUAUUUAGGAAGGUGCAAAGUGAGUGAUAUUGUAAUCAAUUUGAACUGCUUUAUUUAAUUAAGCAAUAAAAUACAAUUAAUUAGUUUGCUCCAUAAGGGUUGUUCCCUGUCACAUAAUUGAAAUAAUUAUGCUUUACUCGUUUGUAUGUAGGAUAGUAUGUAGGAUAUCUCGACGAGCGCCCUUUCCAGUAUCUCACUCAGGUCAGAAGACAAUUGGAAAUGACCGAGAAUGAUGCUAACACCAGGUGUCAAAAAUUGCAGGUGCUCUAGUGGUGUCAUGGUGACACUACAAUAAUUGUACACCAGCACAAACUGUCAAGAUUCAAUGUCAGAUUUACUCCUAAGGAUACAGAACCGGUAAAGUAGUAGAAAUAUUUGGGCUCAGGUCCUUUUGCCGAACAAGAUAAUGUUGACGGGAAGAUGAAGAGAACGAGACAGUGAAGAGAACGAGACAGUAUAUGCAUGAUAGUGUUAGUGUUAGUAUCCAUUAGUUCCAUUAGUUCAAUUUCAAAAAAGACAGUAAAAUACUAGUAAAAUUCCUUGUGCAGUCGUUGAGAGUGCAUUUAAUAGUAAAUCCAGGAUCACAUGAGUAGUGAGAAGAAGCUUCUCUGAAGGUGCAGAAAAAUCUCCUGAACAAUAUGAGCAUAUUGUGCGAUAACAAGAUCCAGCCAAAACGUCAGAGAGGGUACAUAGGUACUAGGUAUCUGUGUGUACAGGAAAAGUGCUUCUUGGUAACUCUAUUUAGUGCUACCCUAAAUCCUAAUUAGGUGAUAAUCACAUGAUCGGCCACAUGGGUCUAUAUUAAAAAUGGCAAAGCGUUUGGAGUCAAGCCAGGUGUGCGCCUACCUUCAGCAAGAGAUACCUAACAUCUCAAAGGAUGUACUAGACAAGCUAGAGGAGUACGAAUUGAGUGAGGAAUAAGUAGCACCACUACUACUGGGUGAUCGCUUAAAAAUCAGGAGAAUAACUUCAAAUGUAAGUAUGUAAAAAAUGUAAGUAUGUAAAGUUAUAUCUAUAACAAUUUAUCAGGUGUACAUUUUCUUGUUCAGCUGUUCAAAUUCUCCUGUACAUUCUCCUGUACCAUCUUGCACUUCUACUCCAAAACGUAGUGUAACCUCAAGGUACCAUGGAAGUGUCAAUAGUGAAUUUGAUGAUGAUGAUGACUCUCUGGAUGACUUAUCUUCGUCAAGCACUUCUUUUGGACUUGGACUGUCUGUGAAGGCUGCCAUCCCGUGUAUAAUUACUAUUUCAUUCAUUUAGGGAUGUGACGCACCAAUUGACAAGAAGCCCGAUAAUAAAGAAUCAGAGAUGGAUUAGUUAUUCCUGUUUGCUUCUCUACUUCUACUAACAAAGUCCUCGAGACAGGGUAUCUUACAAAGAAAGCAAAGCACGCGUGGAGAUUACUACUUCUUUAUCGACUCUUGUACUCGUGCACAGCCCACUCCCAGCACGGUAUGUCAGAGACUAGUCGAGAAGCAUACAAUUCUGCGGGACAAAGUGGAUAAUGGCUUGUGAUGAACCGUUUUUGCGUCAACUUCGAAAAAUCGGCCAGAUAGAGCUGAUAUCACUGUUCCUCCUGUCCCUCCUGCUACAAGGAAGGCAGAAACCACUUUGUCAUCAAUGGCUAACGUCACAUUUCAUUCUUGAAGCGGUCAUACCAAAGUGGUCUCUUCCAAGUAUGAUCACUCUCAUGGAGCUAGGGAGUGGAUCAAGACGGAAGGACCAACCGUAAAGCAGAUCUUGGAAAAAUUUCCCUGUUUGGGCGAACCAAGAAUUGUAAGAUGAUUGUGAUUGUGUGUGACAUGUUCUAGUUUUGCCAAAUCACUGGAGCUGUUGAGGAUGACUUUCAGCAGAAAUGGAUGAGUUUAAUAACUGAAGUAUUCUCACAUUGAGGAGAAAAGAGCUCUAAAGUAGCUGUUGUCGGAAUAUGCUGCUAUCGAAAGUGAAUCAGCAGGUAUUAUGUACUAAGUGCGUACAAUUAGCUAUAGAGUAACUACAUUUCAACACUCAUGAAUUAUACAGAUCAAACUGCAUCAUAUAUCCACGUCUGCUUUGCUUCUACUGAGUUACGUCUCAUUCUGUUAGUUAAUUUCCACGAGCAACAACAAACUGCAUAUUUUUUUGUGAUUUGUGAUUUGUGAUUCAUUUUGUUGUUCACAUGACCUUUGAAAUCAUUUAUACCGUGAAAUUAUACGCAACAGUUACUAUUUGUCAAUUUGACAUGGUAGAAAGUAUACUAUAGUGUUAUGGCAGCACCACAAU